UACGUAGGGUGCAAGCGUUAAUCGGAAUUACUGGGCGUAAAGCGUGCGCAGGCGGCUUUGCAAGACAGAUGUGAAAUCCCCGGGCUUAACCUGGGAACUGCAUUUGUGACUGCAUGGCUAGAGUGCGGCAGAGGGGAUGGAAUUCCGGCGGUGUAGCAGUGAAAUGCGUAGAUAUGCGGAGGAACACCGAUGGCGAAGGCAA
rnacentral:rRNA from 1 species